UACACAGACUGGUUUCUGUUUUUGCCCAUAAAAUAGGAAUAAGAACUUUUGGGCUGGUUUCGCUGACUGUCUGUCCCUGGCCAUAUGCGGAAUAAGAUCNNGCCAGGAGACUAAGCGUGUAGAUGUUUUUCAAGGAUUUAUUUCGGACGGGAGUUCGAAUCUCCCCGCCUCCACAU
rnacentral:tmRNA from 1 species